AUACGUAGGUGACAAGCGUUAUCCGGAUUUACUGGGCGUAAAGGGCGUGUAGGCGGUCUUGCAAGUCAGAAGUGAAAUUCCUGAGCUCAACUCGGGCGCUGCUUCUGAAACUGCAGGACUUGAGUGCUGGAGGGGAUAGCGGAAUUCCUAGUGGAGCGGUAAAAUGCGCAGAUAUUAGGAGGAACACCGGUGGAGAAGGCGGAUAUCUGGCCAGAACGUGGAGCUGAGGCGCGAAAGCGUGGAUAACAAACCGGAUUAGAUACCCGGGUAGUCCACGCCGUAAACGAUGAAUACUAGGUGUAGGGAAUAUCGACUCCCUCUGUGCCGCAGUUAACACAAUAAGUAUUCCGCCUGGGGAGUUCGGCCGCAAGGUUGAAACUCACAUGAAUUGGCGGGU
rnacentral:rRNA from 1 species